AACAUUUUCCCUUUGAUUUGUUGCCAUUGGUUUUCUUGGUUCGGUUUCAAGUAAGGGCAAAACAAACUUACACUCCCAUGUAAUAAGAGAAUCUUGCAUCCAUCUUGGUUUUGAAGGAUCAGGUUUCUCCAAAUGGUUUGAAAACACUGAAGUAUAGUAGUUGAGCCCAACGAAAUCGGUAGAAGCUUUCAGUUUUGCUUUCUGCUCAGUUGUAAAUUUAGGCAAUCUAUGUCCAACAAUGUCUUUCAUGAUCUGUGGAUAAUCUCCAAAUGUAGUUGUGUCUAGAUGCCUACAAAAACCAUCAAAAUAUCGUCAUAUAAAAUUUCAAGAUAUUUAGUAUAGUACUAAUU
rnacentral:sRNA from 1 species